GCCAGCCUUUCGCCCAGGGCAUAAAUGGCCGUCUUGCAGCGGGCGGGGGGGCUGUGGCUGGCGCUUCCCCGCCUUCAGCCCUCCCUCUCGGCAUCUGACAUCUCCUCCCGCCGGGCUGGGCGAGAAAGUGGCUGUCUGCGAAAGUUAACCGGCCUCCCUGCGCACUCUGGAGAAGCGGCGCCGCGGGCCGUGCCCGACCGCCCGCCCCGGCGUUGGGGUGGUGCUCAGGGACGGGCGAUACGCAGAAGGGUCGGUGGUAAAAUGAAAUAAAACAGUACAUUUGGAAAACAGCUCUUCAACUAUGAAAACUACACUAAUAAAAGACUGUAUCUUUCCAGCCCAGCAAAACUGUUGUGUGGAGCUGUCUACUUAUGACACAAUCCUGGAGAGCUGCAGAAGAACCCAGAUCAGGGAAGAACAAUCUAAUUAUCUGCUAGAAUGGAGGCCUGGAGCAACAAAGAUUCAAGAGCAAACCCGCAGUUAGUGGUUACUGUAGACUCUCUUCCUGGCUUUCUCAGCCUCAUUGGAUAACUACUGCCGAUUGAUUACAAUCAGGUAUUUCAGACCCAGCCAUAAACAUCAAAAGGUUAGCAGUGAUGCAACUGGUGCAGAACCACCAGCAGGUCACCUGUGGAAUUUUCUCUAAACAAAAACGUUUUCCUAUGUUUCACACAGGACAGAAGCAGCCAACACACAGAGUAAAACUGGAAUGAACUCUCUGACAGAGUCAUCUGGAUCAUGACAACAGUAUACCAUUAAGUAUUUAGUCAGUGGGAAGGGGCAUGUGAUUGUAACAUAGCUAAGUCAUCAGUCUUGGUAAUUACAGGUAAGAAACAGAAUACUCAGGCAAGCAGUGGAGAAAGAUGGGUUAAAAUAAUAUGAUGUCAGUAAAGACGGGUGGGGACAAAUUCUUUUGCUUUCAAGCAAAAGAAUGCUUACUAUUUAUUUUCCUCUGAAGUUCUUUAUAUUUUAUAGAAACGGACCAUUUUGAAAAAUUCUCAUUGGCUCAAGAAAUAUGCCUGUCCAAGCCUCCUUAAAUCCAUUGAGAAGCAGAGAGGACUAUUAAGGAGAAAGAAACAAUUAAUGAAUGACCCUUGUCAUAUAGCCCUGUUCAAACAUACACUUUCCUCAACAAGUGCAGUAAACUGCAGCUUUGAAUUGGAUGCAAAAAGAAAUAUCCCCCCCAAAAAAGUCAUAUUUAGCUCAGCCAUGAAAGCUGCUCUCUUUAAUGUGGCAAGAACAGGAAUACAAGAGCUUCACAUUCCCCUUUUAUAUGUUUAACCUUUGACAAGAAGGUUAAACACUUUCCUCAUAACUGACUCACAUCAGGAAAUACAAGAACUAUAUUCUCCAGAUGAAGCCUGGCUAGCUGCAAAGUGCAAUGUCAGCGUCUGAAGUGGAGUAAAACAAGGAUUCCUUGUGCAGUUCUUAGUACUUCUACAGGGGCAGGAAGUGGGUCAGCAAAAGGGUCUUUUCCAGACAGGAGAAAGCUAAAAUGGUCAUGAGAACAACAAGGAAGUUCAGCGCAGGGGGAGAAUUGGCUCCAAUUUAAAACAUCUCACUGAGACCUAUUUUAAAUGCAUUGAUGUAUUAAAAUCCCUCCAGCAAAAUAGCAGGAAAGUUUACAAAACAUUAAAUGGAAUAUCUAUGAAAGCUUUCCGUGUUUCCUGUUCUUUGCCUUACAGAUAUUUUAGGGCCAGGUUCUCAUCUGGUGUCAAUGCACCUAACUCCCUUCACUUGGC
ensembl:lncRNA